rnacentral:pre_miRNA from 1 species
AUCAAUUUAUCACCAAUAUUACCCUUGCACAAGCACCAACUUGAGUUUAGAAAACAGUAAGUGCUAUUUGUUGGGGUAGUAUUGAUGA